rnacentral:rRNA from 1 species
AAUUCUUGGAUUUAUGAAAGACGAACUUCUGCGAAAGCAUUUGCCAAGGAUGUUUUCAUUAAUCAAGAACGAAAGUUAGGGGAUCGAAGACGAUCAGAUACCGUCGUAGUCUUAACCCUAAACUAUGCCGACUAGGGAUCCGUGGUCAUUUUUAUGAUACCAUGGGCACCUUAUGAGAAAUCAAAGUUUUUGGGUUCCGGGGGGAGUAUGGUCGCAAGGCUGAAACUUAAAGGAAUUGACGGAAGGGCACCACCAGGAGUGGAGCCUGCGGCUUAAUUUGACUCAACACGGGAAAACUCACCAGGUCCAGACAUAGUAAGGAUUGACAGAUUGAGAGCUCUUUCUUGAUUCUAUGGGGUGGUGGUGCAUG